rnacentral:rRNA from 1 species
GAUGAACGCUGGCGGCGUGCCUAAUACAUGCAAGUCGAGCGAACGGACGAGAAGCUUGCUUCUCUGAUGUUAGCGGCGGACGGGUGAGUAACACGUGGAUAACCUACCUAUAAGACUGGGAUAACUUCGGGAAACCGGAGCUAAUACCGGAUAAUAUUUUGAACCGCAUGGUUCAAAAGUGAAAGACGGUCUUGCUGUCACUUAUAGAUGGAUCCGCGCUGCAUUAGCUAGUUGGUAAGGUAACGGCUUACCAAGGCAACGAUGCAUAGCCGACCUGAGAGGGUGAUCGGCCACACUGGAACUGAGACACGGUCCAGACUCCUACGGGAGGCAGCAGUAGGGAAUCUUCCGCAAUGGGCGAAAGCCUGACGGAGCAACGCCGCGUGAGUGAUGAAGGUCUUCGGAUCGUAAAACUCUGUUAUUAGGGAAGAACAUAUGUGUAAGUAACUGUGCACAUCUUGACGGUACCUAAUCAGAAAGCCACGGCUAACUACGUGCCAGCAGCCGCGGUAAUACGUANGUGGCAAGCGUUAUCCGGAAUUAUUGGGCGUAAAGCGCGCGUAGGCGGUUUUUUAAGUCUGAUGUGAAAGCCCACGGCUCAACCGUGGAGGGUCAUUGGAAACUGGAAAACUUGAGUGCAGAAGAGGAAAGUGGAAUUCCAUGCGUAGCGGUGAAAUGCGCAGAGAUAUGGAGGAACACCAGUGGCGAAGGCGACUUUCUGGUCUGUAACUGACGCUGAUGUGCGAAAGCGUGGGGAUCAAACAGGAUUAGAUACCCUGGUAGUCCACGCCGUAAACGAUGAGUGCUAAGUGUUAGGGGGUUUCCGCCCCUUAGUGCUGCAGCUAACGCAUUAAGCACUCCGCCUGGGGAGUACGACCGCAAGGUUGAAACUCAAAGGAAUUGACGGGGACCCGCACAAGCGGUGGAGCAUGUGGUUUAAUUCGAAGCAACGCGAAGAACCUUACCAAAUCUUGACAUCCUUUGACAACUCUAGAGAUAGAGCCUUCCCCUUCGGGGGACAAAGUGACAGGUGGUGCAUGGUUGUCGUCAGCUCGUGUCGUGAGAUGUUGGGUUAAGUCCCGCAACGAGCGCAACCCUUAAGCUUAGUUGCCAUCAUUAAGUUGGGCACUCUAAGUUGACUGCCGGUGACAAACCGGAGGAAGGUGGGGAUGACGUCAAAUCAUCAUGCCCCUUAUGAUUUGGGCUACACACGUGCUACAAUGGACAAUACAAAGGGCAGCGAAACCGCGAGGUCAAGCAAAUCCCAUAAAGUUGUUCUCAGUUCGGAUUGUAGUCUGCAACUCGACUACAUGAAGCUGGAAUCGCUAGUAAUCGUAGAUCAGCAUGCUACGGUGAAUACGUUCCCGGGUCU